CCCUGCAUUCGAAAGAGAUCGUGGGUUGCCUGUGCCCUGGUCAUUGAUAGUGCAGGGAAAGGAAUUGGUGAAAGUGUUUCCCUGUGUUUGGAGAGUCCCCUCCUGUCCCUUCUGAACUCUGGAGCUUUCGUACA
rnacentral:snoRNA from 1 species